UACGGGGGGGGGCAAGCGUUGUUCGGAAUUACUGGGCGUAAAGGGCUCGUAGGCGGCCCAACUAAGUCAGACGUGAAAUCCCUCGGCUUAACCGGGGAACUGCGUCUGAUACUGGAUGGCUAGAGGUUGGGAGAGGGAUGCGGAAUUCCAGGUGUAGCGGUGAAAUGCGUAGAUAUCUGGAGGAACACCGGUGGCGAAGGCGGCAUCCUGGACCAAUUCUGACGCUGAGGAGCGAAAGCCAGG
rnacentral:rRNA from 1 species